rnacentral:rRNA from 1 species
GGCGCACGGGUGCGUAACGCGUAUGCAAUCUACUUUUUACAGAGGGAUAGCCCAGAGAAAUUUGGAUUAAUACCUCAUAGUAUUAUGAAAUGGCAUCAUUUUAUAAUUAAAGUCACAACGGUAAAAGAUGAGCAUGCGUCCCAUUAGCUAGUUGGUAAGGUAACGGCUUACCAAGGCUACGAUGGGUAGGGGUCCUGAGAGGGAGAUCCCCCACACUGGUACUGAGACACGGACCAGACUCCUACGGGAGGCAGCAGUGAGGAAUAUUGGACAAUGGGCGCAAGCCUGAUCCAGCCAUGCCGCGUGCAGGAUGACGGUCCUAUGGAUUGUAAACUGCUUUUAUACGAGAAGAAACACUCCUUCGUGAAGGAGCUUGACGGUAUCGUAAGAAUAAGGAUCGGCUAACUCCGUGCCAGCAGCCGCGGUAAUACGGAGGAUCCAAGCGUUAUCCGGAAUCAUUGGGUUUAAAGGGUCCGUAGGCGGUUUAAUAAGUCAGUGGUGAAAGCCCAUCGCUCAACGGUGGAACGGCCAUUGAUACUGUUAAACUUGAAUUAUUAGGAAGUAACUAGAAUAUGUAGUGUAGCGGUGAAAUGCUUAGAGAUUACAUGGAAUACCAAUUGCGAAGGCAGGUUACUACUAAUGGAUUGACGCUGAUGGACGAAAGCGUGGGUAGCGAACAGGAUUAGAUACCCUGGUAGUCCACGCCGUAAACGAUGGAUACUAGCUGUUGGGAGCAAUCUCAGUGGCUAAGCGAAAGUGAUAAGUAUCCCACCUGGGGAGUACGUUCGCAAGAAUGAACUCAAAGAAAUUGA